UGUAGUGAGGAGACUGUGCUUGUUACAAUGGCCUCAGAGGUAUAGCUAUGAGUCAGCAGCUGUAUUGCCUCCAAAUACAUCUGCAGUAUACAACAUCAUGGGACUGAACUUUAUAAAACCUUGUAAAUGUGAGAGCACCCUCCACCAAGAUGGGAAUCGGGAUGUCCUUGUUAGUUCUGGAUCCUAUUUCUUCAUGUCCAACAUUAAUGGUGAAGGGGAGGAAUGGAUGAAGACCCUCAACAAGGUGGUGUGGCUUCCAUUCACUGACCUCUAAGCAUAUAUCCGGAGAUGUCGCCUAGGACCAGCACAAAACCAGAUCAACAAUGCUACUCAACCAUCGUUUAAAAUUGUUUUCACCCACCACAAGCUCUACAUCACACACCCAGACUGGUGACCGUGCAUUGUAUUAUUGUGGGGCAGAUAAUGUCUGUUAUUAUUUGGUUUGCAAAACCAUUUGUAUAAUUUCUCUCCGUGUUUUACACAUUGGUGUGUGUUGCAGGAGGUUUAUGGUUUGGUCACCAGACCAGGAAUUACAAAA